rnacentral:rRNA from 1 species
UACGUAGGGGGCAAGCGUUGUCCGGACUUACUGGGCGUAAAGCGUGUGCAGGCGGGCCGCUAUGUGCCGUGUGAAAGCUCCCGGCUUAUCCGGGAGAGGGCGCGGUAGACAGGCGGCCUGGAGGCUCGGAGAGGUCAGUGGAAUUCGUCGGUGUAGUGGUGAAAUGCGUAGAUAUCGGAGAGGAACGACCAGUGGCGCGAAGCGGCUGACUGGCCGAGACCUGACGC